CUCGGGGGAUUCCUGUUCGGAUAUGACACGGGGGUGAUUUCUGGAGCGAUGAUUCUCCUCCGGAACGAGUUCCAACUCUCGCUCGUCUGGCAAGAGUACAUUGUCAGCGUCACGGUGGCCGCUGCUGCCCUUUUUGCACCGAUCGGGGGCUUCCUGAAUGACCGUUUGGGGAGGAGGCCCGUGAUCAUGGGGGCCAGUGUCGUGUUUACCGUGGGGGCCCUCUGUAUGGGGAUAGCCGGGGACAAGUACCUGCUCCUGGCUGGACGAAUCAUCGUCGGAGCCGGCAUAGGUUUGACCUCUACCACAAUACCAAUGUACCUUGCUGAGUGUUCUCCCGCCAAUGAGCGUGGGCGCCUGGUCUCCACAAACAUCGCCAUGGUGGCGUGUGGGCAGUUCGUGGCCAGCGUGGUGGACGGCAUAUUUGGCUGGUGCCAGUAUGACGUCGGAUGGAGGUACAUGCUCGGCCUGGCGGGCAUCCCUUCCUUCGUUCAGUUCCUGGGAUUUGUGUUCAUGCCAGAGAGCCCGCGGUGGCUGAUUAUCAAUGAGAGGGAGGAAUACGCUCGGCGCGUGCUUCAGACCAUGAGGGGGCACUUCGACAUUGACGAAGAAUUCGAUAGCAUCAAAAAUAGCUACCUUGAAGCACGAGAUGGUGAAUCGAGGACACCCGUUUUGAUAAAGAUGCUUCAGACUCCGUCGGUCAGAAGAGCCUUAUUUGUUGGAUGUGGACUGCAACUGUUUCAGCAGCUCUCGGGAAUAAAUACUGUGAUGUACUACAGCGCCACCAUAAUCCGGAUGUCCGGUGUCCGGGGGGACGAGACCACUAUCUGGCUGUCGGCAUUCACCGCGGCGGUCAAUUUUGUCUUCACUGUCCUGGGACUUUUUCUCGUGGAGAAAAUCGGCCGCAGAGCUCUGACACUCGGAAGCCUCAUAGGAGCGAUUGUAAGUUUGGCCUGGUUGGCCAUAGGGUUCCAGCUAUCGGCGAUGAACACUGCUCCAAUCACCCUUACAGAGCCGAGUGCAGCAGGGUCGAUAUGUCAAUCAUAUGUAGACUGCAACUCGUGUAUGCGGGACCUGACCUGUGGCUACUGUUACCUGGACUCGGACCACGGUCCACAGAACGGGACCUGUCUGAGGGCUAACUACGACGAGCCGUUCAAGGCGGUGUCUGGCCGCUGUAACGACACCCACCUCCCGGGGGAUCUCACGUGGGCCUACGACUUCUGUCCCACCCAGUUUUACUGGAUGCCAAUGAUAGGCCUUGUUGCUUACCUCAUGUUUUUUGCUCCAGGGAUGGGACCAAUGCCCUGGACUAUCAAUUCAGAAAUCUACCCCUCCUGGGCCAGGAGUACGGGCAACGCAGCCUCAACAUUUACUAACUGGACCGUAAAUCUCGCCAUGUCUAUGUCGUUUUUAAGUUUAACACAGUCCCUUACUAGAUUUGGUACAUUCUGGUUGUACAGUGGCUUGGCAUUGAUUGGCCUUAUCGUAUUGGCGCUAUUUUUACCCGAAACCAAAGGCAAGACGCUGGAGGAGGUGGAAGGACUGUUUGCCAGGCCCUGGUGUGGCACAGGGCCCAAAAUAGACUACAAUGUGGAAAACAUUCAGUACGUUCAUAUACGUGGCCUGAACAGGGACGGCCGCGAGUCCGAGAUUGAUUCCCCGGAUUGAGCACAAUCGGCCGAUAUUUACGUCGCAUUAACCAAUGAGGAAUAAAAUCUGAUAUCUUUAUUGAUGUGAUCAGAAGGGCUACUUGCAAUCGACAGUAAACAAUCAAACAGAACUCCAAGACCGCGUUGAUUGUAUUCUGUAGACUUGAUGGCGACCGUCCUUCAUGAGAUGACGUUCGUUAUUUAGGAAAUUAAAUUUACACAAAUAUCUAUUUUUUUGGAGCAUGACUCGAAGUCUUGGACAUAAAAGAUUAUUUUAAAAAUGUUCAAUUGUAGAAAUAAGACAUGUGAGAGAAUAUGUAUGAAAUUAAGGAUGGAAUGAAAUUAUAUUGGUUGUUUCCUUUAUUAAAAAAGGAAGUGAGAAUAAUAAUUAGAAUUUUCCCUAAUUGUU
rnacentral:misc_RNA from 1 species